rnacentral:rRNA from 1 species
AGAGUUUGAUCAUGGCUCAGAAUCAACGCUGGCGGCGUGCCUAACACAUGCAAGUCGAGCGCGAAAGGGGGGCAACUCCCAAGUAGAGCGGCGAACGGGUGAGUAACGCGUGGGUAAUCUACCUUCGAGUGGGGAAUAACAGCGGGAAACUGCUGCUAAUACCGCAUAACAUCCCUGGGCCUUCGGGUUCGGGGAUCAAA